AGACUGAGAUUGGACUAACCCGUUCAGGAAGUUUUAGACGGACGGUGACAGUAUGAGUCAAAUAACGCUUGUCAGCUCGAGACGGGCCACGAAACGCGCUGUUUUCGUGUGGUUCCAACGGGCAACACCGCCAAAUGUUACUUUCAGGUAAAUGGCCGGCUGCUGCGGGCAAAGCUGGCAUCCAGCGACGCACGUUGUCCCCCUCCAUCGCCGCGUCGCUAGCAGGCUUGGCGCGCUGCUCGUCCAGUUGUUCCAGUUCCUCCAGUAUGUUCUGAACGCGGCGGACCCCGUCCCGUCUGGCCUGCCGCACGUCCGCGCGACCCUCCGGGUCGACCGAGUCCAGCGCUAGGAGCUCUUUGCUUGGCGACCCGGUCGACUAUCUGCUGGACUUUAGUCAAGCCCGGAUGGACUGGGCACUGGGGAGCUGGAGCCGGUUCGGCCUCCGACUUCGCAGGUGGGAACUCCGGCGAUGGAGCGGUUCUGUCCGGGCCCUCUGGUU